AAAAGACCUGAAAAGGUCAAAGACGAGAAGAGACCAUGGAUCCUGCGUGCCAGAGAAGAUUCAAUUCAAAUUGAAAGCACAACUGUACAUGAGGAAAAUCAAUCAUUGCCUCAAACACUUAUCUAUAUUAGCUGUGGUUGGGAAAGUUUUAAAGAGGAUUGCUCGUCACUGCUUGCUAGUAAGGAAUGGCAUUUGCAUAAAGCCCAUGGCUUUAAUUUCUUUCCCGGAACACAAAGUAUUGAGAUUCUAGCUGUGUUUAAACGAGGCAGAGGAGCUAGCACCAAGAAGAAGAAAUCGGGAAAAAAGCAAAAGAAACCCCACUGAAGAAUUCAAUUAAAGAAAGGCCAACACUAAAGCUCAUAUUCGACUGAAAUAAAUUACAAGGAACAGAAGGGUAGAGAGGAG
rnacentral:misc_RNA from 1 species